rnacentral:rRNA from 1 species
ACGGAAGGCAGCAGUGGGGGAUAUUGCACCAUGGAGGAAACUCUGAUGCAGCAACGCCGCGUGAGGUAAGAAGGUCUUCGGAUUGUAAACCUCUGCUUUUAGUGACGAAACAAAUGACGGUAGCUAAAGAGGAAGCCACGGCUAACAACGUGCCACCAGCCGCGGUAAUACGUAGGUGGCAAGCGUUGUCCGGAUUUACUGGGUGUAAAGGGUGCGCAGGCGGGACUGAAAGUUGGAUGUGAAAUACCGGAGCUCAACUCCGGAACUGCAUCCAAAACUGUAGUUCUUGAGUGGAGUAGAGGUAAGCGGAAUUCCGAGUGUAGCGGUGAAAUGCGUAGAUAUUCGGAGGAACACCAGUGGCGAAGGCGGCUUACUGGGCUCUAACUGACGCGGAGGCACGAAAGUGUGGGUAGCAAACAGGAUUAGAUACCCUGGUA